GGAGUUAGCCGGUGCUUCUUCUGUGAGUGAUGUCCUUCCUGCCGGCUAUUAACCCGCAGGCCUUCUUCCUCACUGAAAGUGCUUUACAACCCGAAGGCCUUCUUCACACACGCGGCAUGGCUGGAUCAGGGUUGCCCCCAUUGUCCAAUAUUCCCCACUGCUGCCUCCCGUAGGAGUCUGGGCCGUGUCUCAGUCCCAGUGUGGCUGAUCAUCCUCUCAGACCAGCUACGGAUCGUCGCCUUGGUGAGCCGUUACCUCACCAACCAGCUAAUCCGACAUAGGCUCAUCCGAUAGCGCGAGGCCCGAAGGUCACCCGCUUUCCCCCGUAGGGCGUAUGCGGUAUUAGCCUGGGUUUCCCCAGGUUAUCCCCCACUACCGGGCAGAUUCCUAUGCAUUACUCACCCGUCCGCCGCUCGCCACCAGGGAGCAAGCUCCCCGUGCUGCCGCUCGACUUGCAUGUGUUAGGCCUGCCGCCAGCGUUCAAUCUGAACCAAGAUCAAAUUCUGA
rnacentral:rRNA from 1 species